rnacentral:lncRNA from 1 species
AUGCUGCUGCGCCCAGGCUCUCUGCGUCCCCCCCGCGCCGCGCUCCGCCGCGAACCCCGAACGUGCGGAGGGAAGAAGGAGGGCGGGCGAGGGAGGCUCGCGGAGGGAGGAGCGCAGGGGGGAGGAGGAGGCAGAGAAGGAGGAGGAGGAGGAGGAGGAGGAGGAAGAGGAGGACCGCGCUGCCGGCGGAAUGGGAAGUUUGACAAAUCGCUCCAGAGGCCGGAGGAGGAGGGGGCGGGGAGGAGAGGCGGCCCUGCCCACCCCCCCCCCGCCCCCCCCCCCCGCGCCCCGUCCCCUGACGAGGAGCUGAGAGAACAGGCAAGCCGUCCUCGGAAACCCGUUUGGAUGAUGGCGGGCAGAACUGCAGCUCUGCAGAGAGAGACGCCAGCCAGCGUGCAGAAGUGGAAGACAGAAUCUUGCUCUAUCACUCAGCUGGAAUGCAGCGGCACCAUUCCAGCUUACUGCAGCCUCAAACUCCUGGCUCAAGGGAUCCUUCAGCCUCAGCCUCCUGAUUAGCUAGGACUACAGGUCCUUGAGGAAGUGCCACAUUGUCUUCCACAAUGGCUGAGCUAAUUUAAACUCCCACCAACAGUGUAAAAGUGUUCCUAUUUCUCUACAUCCUCUCCAGCAUCUGUUGUCUCCAGAUUUUUGAAUGAUCGCCAUUCGAACUGGUGUGAGGUGGUAUCUCAAUGUGGUUUUGAUUUGCAUUUCUCCAAUAACCAGUCUUGCUCUGUCACCCAUGCUGGAGGGCAGUGUUGUGAUCUUGGCUCACUGCAACCUACGCCUUCUGGGUUCAAGGGAUUUUCCUGCCCACUGCAACCUAUGCCCUUCUGGGUUCAAGGGAUUACUCAGUGAUCUUGACUCACUGCAACCUAUGCCCUUCUGGGUUCAAGGGAUUACUCAGCCUCCUGAGUAGCUGGGACUACAGAUGUAUGCCACCAUGCCUGGAGCCUGGCAUUUUUGUAUUUAUUUUUAUUUCUCCAUAUUGGCCAGGAUGAUCUUGAACUCUUCACCUCAGGUGAUUCACCCACCUUGGCCUCCCAAAGUGCUGGGAUUACAGGCAUGAGCCGCCACACCUGGCCUAGACUGUGAGUUUUUAAUGGUAUUCUUUAAUACCCACUUAACAUUGAAUAUUAGCCAGGCGUGGUGGCUCAUGCUUGUAAUCCCAGCACUUUGGGAGGCAGGCGGAUUACUUGAGCUCAGGUUUUUGAGACCAGCCUAGGCGACAUGGUGGAACCCCGUCUCUACUAAACGUACAAAAAUUAGCCGGACAUAUUGGUGGGUGCCUGUAAUCCCAGCUACUUGGGAGGCCGAGGCAGGAGAAUUGCUUGAAUCACAAAGGUAGAGGUUGCAGUGAGCAGAGAUUGUGCCACUACACUCCAGCCUGGCUGACAAAGUGAAACUGUCUCAAAACAACAAAGCAACAACAGCACAAAACAUUGAUUGUUAACUUCAGCAUUAAUCAGUGAAACUAAUCUACUUUCCUUACUUCCCAUAUUUUAUUGCAUCAUUUCUUUGUCAGGACGUAUUUAAAUAUUACUCUUCAUCUUGUUGUCACUUUUGUUUUAGUUUUAAAUCUUCAAUUAAAUAUAUGAAGUGCUCACCAUUCCUUCUUCCAUUCCUUCUUUAAUUGUCUCUUGUUUGGAUGAACUCAGUCUCAGCAGAUUCUUCCUAAUUGUGUGACUAUGGGUGAGCUACCUAAGUCUGAGCCUAUUUCCUGAUCCACAGGAGAUAAUAAUAUCACCAAUCUCCUGAAAAAAAUCAGGCGCUAUGAUGAAAUGAGGUAAUCCGCUUUGGAAGUUGUCCUACACAUAGUAAGCACUACAUAUCAGCCAUUGUUGUUGUUAGUAAUAGUGAACCUCAUGUUGGACUUUGCUUGCUUUUUCCUAAAUGCUAAUUGACAUUGGAAGCCCCAAAUCCGAAGUACAAGAACUUAUUACCAUGUUAAAGUUCAAUCUAGAGAUUAGUACAUUUGGCUCAGUGUAUCUGUGGGUUCUGCAUCUGUAGAUUCAACUAACCACGGACUGGCAAUAUUAAGAAUAAAAUAACAAUACUACAAUAAAAGUAAUAUGAAUUAAAAAACAGUAGACAAUAAAUUGAAAAAUACAGUAUGACAACUAUAUGCAUAGCAUUUACAUUGCAUAUUAUAAGUAAACUAGAGAUGAUUUAAAGUAUAUGGAGGGAUGUGUGUGAGUUAUAUGCAAAUACUACUUUUUUUUUUUUUUUUGAGAUGGAGUUUCGCUCUUGUUGCCCAGUGCUCAGGCAACCUCCAUCUCCCAGGUUCAAGUGAUUCUCCUGUUUCAGUUUCCCAAGUGGCUGGGAUUAUAGGCAUUCGCCACCACGCCCAGCUAAUUUUGUAUUUUUAGUAGAGACGGAGUUUCUCCAUGCUGGUCGGGCUAGUCUCAAACUCUCAACCUCAGGUGAUCCGCCCACCUCAGCCUCUCAAAGUGGUGGGAUUAUAGGUGUGAACCACUGCCCCCAGCCAAAUACUACAUUUUUUAUAUAAGGUACUUGAGCAUCCAUAGAUUUUAGUAUCCUUGGGGGUCCUGGAACCAAUCUCCUCCCAUACUGAGGAAGGAAUGUACACAGAAAAAGUCAAGAUGUGAUAUAGGGGAUAUAGGGGAGGAGGCAGUGGACUGAAAUGUGAAAUGUCAAGAACGGGUUAGAGCUUAGAAGAAAAACUGAAGAAUAAGAAAAAGGCAUAUUUUCAUGUUUGCAGAGCUCAAUCAGGCCAGAAAAGACAUUUGAAUCAACAUAGGAUUAGUAUAGAUUGGAAGUUUACAUGAAGAACUGUUUCAAGUUGUCCUUAAACAAGGCACUGGAUUAGAUUAUAUUGAGAUUUAUUUUAAGAGACUAAAAUCUCUUAAAAUCAUCAAGGCCUUUGAGCUGUUGCUCUGCCCGCGCCCACACGGUGGAGUGUACUUUCGUUUUCAGAGGAAGAGGAACCGUAGCAUGAAGCAGUGGGCAUGGAAGGUUUUCAUGGAUUAGGACUGGAAUUGGCACAUAUGUGUUUGGAUUCUGUUAAAUAAAACACAGCCCCAUGGGCAGCCCUGACUGGGAAAAAUGAUCUAUUUUUAUGCCCUCAUAUGAAAAGGAGAUGGAUCUGGUGAGUGCUGGAAAUCACCGCAUCCAACUGGAGACUUAAAGUUGGCAGUUGAACUACGAGUCUAAAGCACAGAGAAGUCUGCACUGGAGAUCUAAAUAUGGGAAAUAAACAACAUAAGAUAGUAUUUAAAAGUAUGCAACAGGGAGAGAUUCUAGAUAGACAAAGCUGAGGAUCAAGUGAGUACCAACAUCUCUGAACAAGGUAAACUCAUAAGAGACAAAAGUAGAAUUGGAUGUCGGCUGACUCGGCACCAUCGGAUAGAGACAAGUCAAAUAAGAAGAGAAAGAAAACUUUUGGAAGACUGGAACGAAGAACUGAUUUGUGGGCAUAUGGAGUAUGACGUGCCCAUGAAGUAUCCAAAUGGAGGUGCUGAGGAAGAAACAAGAUAGAUGAACGUGGGCUUCAGAAGAUAAAUCUGCCCCGAAUAUACACAUUUAGAAGCUAUUGACAUAUGUGUAAUAAAUAAAGGCAAGGAAGUGGAUUAGAAGGUCAAGAAAGAGCAUGGAGAAUGAGAAGAAGAAGCCUUAGAACUGAGUCUGGAGAAACUCCAACUGUUCAAUUAAUGAGAGAAAGUAAAGCAGUGUGAGGGGGAAAGGCCAAAGGGUUAGGAGAAAAGCUAAGAGGAUGUGAUGUCAAGAAAUCCAAAAGAAGACUGUUUAAAAGAGGCAGAAGUGGUCAACUAUCUUGCUGCUAAAAAGGUUGAGACUCAUGAGCCUGAAGGAUUUGACAACAUAGAGGCCAUCAGCCUCCCAGAGGAUGUUGUUGUGCCCUGCCCAGAUGCCCUUUACCAGGCACUUACAUCUCCGCUUCUGAUACUUUGAAUGUUGUUUGC